ACCCUUCCAUUUCAGAUUUCAUUUCCCCUUUCUCCAACCCAUGCGACGGCUGCUGCUUCUCCUCUUCUCCUUCAUUUUAUGUCAUUUUUUGUUCUCCUCUGUUUUUCAUUGAGUUGCCGUCUGCAGUGUUCCUUCUUCCUCUCCAUCUUAUUUUCGGAUCUUCCCCUCUACAAGUCAGCAAGCGCCACCAUUCAUUCCUCCAUCUUCGGCUGGUCUGUCCGUGAGCCUCCAUUGUUGUGCUUUCUCUUAAAUCUUCCUUACUAAUUUCGUGGCUCAUGCUUGUGAUUUAUUUCCAUUGCAUUCCCUUUUUGUUUGGUCUUUAACUGCUCUGUUUUGCCUUAUUGCCGUGCCCUGUUUUUGCCAUAAAAGCCUUGAGCUUCGCAUGUCUUUUUGGUGAUUUUGGUGCUUGCCGUGAGUGCAUCUUCUGCCAUCGCUUGUUGCCUCUCGAUUUCCCUUGGACUUCAUUGAGAAGAGAGGAGCAGUACACGGAUCCUUACCAUGAGGCUAUGUGUGGUGGCAAUUUGGGUGGAUCUAGAUGGCGACGCGACUGAGCUCAAUGGUGGUGGGAUUUCUGAGAGAGAGAGAGAGAGAGAGAGAGAAUAGAGAGGGAGAGAGCACUAUGAGAGGGGAGGAUACCGAGGUGGGUGGUAUGUCGUAGGUGUGCAAUUGUGAGGUGGGAGGGGUGGUUUGUGGACGGUGUCCGAUGAUGGAGAAUAUUUUUCCAUCGAGUAGCGGUGGCCAAGCCGUUGAGAUAUUCAAAGGUGGUUAGAAACGUGAUAUCGAAAGAGAGAGUGUGUGUGUUGUGGCAUCGACAGUGGCCUACGAUGUUCUUACUGUGCUUAAAUUGUGGCAAUCGUAGGGUGGAGGCUUGGACAGUGUUUUCAGUGGAGUUAGAUGGCUGAGGAGGCUUGCGGGAUUGGUGCAUGGGAAGAACCGGUGCUUUGUUUCUGGUUAUGAAAACAGAGGAUGUUUCGGGGACGUGCGUGGGUGGCCAAGACUCUAAAAAAAUCUGUAGAAGUAGACUGACGUUAAGAUUUAAAAUAUAUUUAUUUAUAAGGAGAACGUCGUACGAGUUUCAUGUUAUUUUACGUCUGUUGAAAUUACUUGUUUUUUACAGAAGAGUCGUGCUAUGGAGGCUUAGAAUGAGAAUGAACGUAAAUCGAUUCUCAUGGCUGUUACUACCCAAUCAUUCACCAAUAACUCUAGAGAGCAACCCCGAGUAGCCCUCGACUGUAAUACAUCAGAGAUCAACGAUAGUUCAUUGAUCACAACGAAUGAUAUUAGAGCUGCUCAUGAUCAAGGGUUUCCUACAGAUUUCGAUGAUGUGUCAAACAAUUUCAACAACAGCAGCAAGAUUAAUGAACAAGGAUUUUUUUUCCAAGCCUCCUGGGUACAGAUUUAUCCUAACAGACGAAGAGUUCAUAAUCUUUUACUUGGAGAAAAAAGUAUGGAAUCUGCCCUUGCCAAUUAACUAGAUCGUAGAGGUUAAUCUAUAUGCAUGUAAUCCACAUUUCUUGUAGAUAGGUAGUAUUGAUCUUGUUCAAACACCUAUUUCUUUAUUGGUAUUCUUUAAUGGUUUUAGCUGUUUGGAAUUUGGAUUUUUCCAAUGAAAUUGGUUUGAACAUAACUUUGCACGAUAUAUAGUUUAUUGUUUGCUAAUUAUUCACCAAUAUCUGAUAUGCCAUGAUUCUCUCGUUCAGAUUAAAAAUUAUUAGCAAGAAAAAAACUCUUUAUAUCAUAUGACGUUAUGUUCAAAAGAUCCAGUUAACAUCUCAAACCAUGGAAGAAUAUCAAGAAAGAAACAGGAUGUUUGAACAAGAUCAGUACUUAUACCUGCAAGAAAAUCUGCGUCAUAUGCAUAUAGGUUAACUUCCACGAUCUUGUUAAUUGGCAGGGGCUGGUUCCAUACUUUCUUCUCCAAGUAAAAGAUGAUGAACUCUUAAUUUGUUGGGAGAAAUCUGUACCCAGGAGGGAAUCCAAAAACAUCUUGAAUCUUGUUGUUGCUUUUGAAAGGCUCAUCAUCGAUAUCUACAGAAAAUCUUUUAUUUGUAGCAGCUCCAAUAUUAUUCGUUGUGAUCAAUGAACUGUCGUUGCUUUCUGGUGUAUUAAGUCGAGGGCUACUUGGAGUUGCUCUCUUGAGUUAUUGGUAAAUGAUUGGUUAGUAACAACAGCCAUGAGAAUCGGUUUACGUUCCUUGCCAUUCUCAACCUCCAUAACAUGACUCUUCUCUGGAAAACAAGUAAUUUUAGAUGACGUCAAAUAAUUUAAAACUCGUACAACAUUUUCUCUCUAUAAAUAAAUAUAUUUUAAAUCUUAGCGCCAGUUCACUUCUACCGAUUUUUUUAGAAUUUUGGACUUAUCCAAAAGUGUAAUUUGUCUUUUUAAAUAUUUUUUUAAAUCCAUUUAGACAUUUUAUCCUUCUGAUUGGAUUGUUUACCUCGACUCUAUAUUCAUGCAUAAUCCAGUUAGUCUUCUUACC